CCCUGGACGGGUCUGCGCGUGCGCAGUGCUCUUCCGCUCUCCAGUAGCGACGUCCUUGCGGCUCCUGCGGCCGCCGCCCCAGGCUAGUGCUUGAUUCCCUCCAAGAACCCUUAGGCUGCAAGCGAAACGUCCUGCCGAGAAAGAAGAUGGGAGAGAAGAAGCAAUAGAGAGAGUGAGAGAAAUAUCGAUGCAAGAGAGAAACACUGAUUGGUUUCCUUCUGAAUGCACCCCAGUUGGGGAUUAAACCUGCAACCUAGGUUCUGUCCCUGGUCCUGACGCCAGCGAUCCCCAGUCUGGGCACAUACAGAGGGCAGCUGGUGAUGCUUCUCUCUCAAAUGAUGUUUCUCUGUCUCCCUUCUUGCCUC